UGAGAAUAACUCCAGCAGAGAGAAGCAGAGAAUACGUGCUGCUGUCGUUUCAAGAGCAUCGCACCUGUGAGUGCAGGCGCAGACGGCAUCACCUGAGAAAUCAGCACAAAAGGAGGCGGAACGGUAAAGGCAGGAGGAGAAGAAGAGGCCGGAAACGACGCAAUAGAGCCACUCACUGUGUCCGAUGUGAUGAUCAAUAAGGCAAAAGAAAGUGCCAUUCAUUCUCCUUUAUCAUCCAUCACUCAAGCACUUCUGGACAUUAUAUGCAUCACCCUCACCUGAUCAGGCUGUACACUUGUUGGGACUGAACCUGUGUGGAUGGGCCGUCUGCAGCUGUGGCAUUCAUUUAAUGUGUCAGGGUUUAUAUUGAAAUGACUGUGAUGGAACGUCUCCAUGGAGAUCUGAUGUUUAGGGCAGAAGGAGAACAACACACAGUGAAACACAUCACUCCUGUGAGGUGGAUCAAUCACAUAUUACACGUUAUAAAUGGGUCUGUUUGGAUUAUCAGUGACAAAUGUAACAAUAAACUGAAGCAAUGAGGCUUCUUGCAGUUUUCGGAAUGUAGAAAAGUGAGCAGAUCUCAAAUAUCUGGUGUGCUGCUCAUGAGUUAUACACUAUGUUACAUAAAUUAAACAGUCUAGCUUAUUACAGUUGGUUACUUUUGAAUGAAAUUGUAAAGCAAAACAAAACACUUGUACAACUGGGCCAUUUCUGUUCGGCAGUACCUUUUAAAUCCUGUAACUGUGAAUCUGCUUGUGUUGUAAUUAUCAGAAUUAUUUAUAUUUUCUAUAGAGCGAACCUGAAGAUUUGAGCACAGAUUUCUCAGUUAAUAUAUUGACUGAACACAAUUAAUUUGUGCGGUAAAUAUUGUUUAUUUUAAUGGGAAACUUUCAGCAGUGAUUUCCACACCUUGUGUUUUGAGGCAAUUACUUUCAUUUCUUUUGUUCAGCAAAAAUGUUAUUCUUGCAUUACACAACUUCUCAAAACAUUAAUUUUACAGCGUAAAGCAGACUUUAUUAAAUAUGUUCUGGUCAAGCUCAGGCACUUUAAAAGACUAACAGGAUGGAAAGUGAUA